rnacentral:piRNA from 1 species
AGGAAGUGUAAGAGGAAUUUUCCUUGGU